rnacentral:misc_RNA from 1 species
GAAAUGCGAUAAGUAAUGUGAAUUGCAGAAUUCCGUGAAUCAUCGAAUCUUUGAACGCACAUUGCGCCCGCCAGCACUCUGGCGGGCAUGCCUGUUCGAGCGUCAUUUCGACCAUCGAGCCCCCGUGACGGGGCUCGCGUUGGGGAUCUGCGGCCGCGCGCAGGCCCCGAAAACCAGUGGCGGGCUCGCCGUCACCCCGAGCGUAGUAGCAUCCGUUCCUCGCUCCGGGCGUGCCGCGGGUACCGGCCGUUAAAAAGGGGACGCCUUAGCGCGUCACUCUCCAGGUUGACCUCGGAUCAGGUAGGAAUACCCGCUGAACUUAA